CCCCUAGAUGUUCUGGGCCGCACGCGCGCUACACUGAACAGUUCAACAAGUCUUAACCUUGGCCGAUAGGUCUGGGUAAUCUUUGAACGCUGUUCGUGAUUGGGAUAGACCUUUGCAAUUAUGGGUCUUCAACGAGGAAUUCCUAGUAAACGCAAGUCAUCAGCUUGCAUUGAUUACGUCCCUGCCCUUUGUACACACCGCCCGUCGCACCUACCGAUUGAAUGGUCCGGUGAAAUCUCGGGACGGCGGCUUGGUCGCUUGCGUCCGACUGCUGAAACUUGAUUAAACCAUAUCAUUUAGAGGAAGGUGAAGUCGUAGCA
rnacentral:rRNA from 1 species